UGCUGGGACACAGUCUUUAUAUAUACGGAUAAUGGUGGAAAUAAAUCCUUGCCAUUCCCUGUUAAUGGUGAUUGAUGAGCUGAUGAGGCCGACUAGGUGUCAGAGGAACACAGCCAGUUUUUAAUGGCACUUUAAUUCUGGAAGUGUAGGAGACUUACUUGCAGAAAUUGGAAGUUGGAGUGGGUGAGAAGUAAUUCAACAAAUGAGCAUGCUUUCAUGGACCAGCUAGCAUAAAUGGAUUCUUAAACUAGUCUUUGCCCUGUGUGAUUUCAGAAUGUAUACUUAGGGUAAAAUUUUACAAAAGAAAAUAGUUCUGGCAAACAAUAGAGUGUGUGUUUCAUAAUAUUUUCAGGUAGCAAGAAACUGUGGUCUCACUCUCAGGGAGAAAUUUACCUGUUUCUAUUUUGAAACUUGAAGUUCUUAUUCGUUAUGUGCAUGC
rnacentral:lncRNA from 1 species